GUUUAUUUUUCAGAUAAAAAAAGUUUAUUAACAGCAAGAGGACAGUCUAUUUUGCAGCGAGCGAAUGUCACCAAAAACCGAUUCGUUUGGCUUUCGAUUCCAAUAUUUGGUGACAUGACGGCUGCGGCAACAGAUUGAAAGGGUGGCGGAGCUGCCUCUGUUUGCUUGUUUGACAUGGUUUCUGGCCAAACCAGCAGCAAACCAAACCAAGCCCCAUCGGAUUGGCGGAGGUUGGGCCAGGACUCCGACAGGGCAGACCAGGACACACCAGGACAGGACGGGAGCUGAAUGCGUUAAGAGGCCUGACGUGGUCAACAUGACAGCUGCACUUUGUGGUGAUUUAUGUGUAUGACUGCGAAUGCCAGGUGAAAAAAUGUUUUUUUUUAUCACUAUCUGACAGACAGCCUGUAAUGCGCGCAUAAUGACAGCAUACAAAGCGAUUUGUAACAAUUCGCGAAUAGCUUAAUGAUUGUACAACAAGGCUUCUCGAUCAUCAA
rnacentral:sRNA from 1 species